CGACAGGCUUAACACAUGCAAGUCGAGGCGCUGCACAGGUAGCAAUACCGGGUGGCGACCGGCGCACGGGUGAGUAACGCGUAUGCAACUUGCCUAUCAGAGGGGGAUAACCCGGCGAAAGUCGGACUAAUACCGCAUGAAGCAGGGAUCCCGCAUGGGAAUAUUUGCUAAAGAUUCAUCGCUGAUAGAUAGGCAUGCGUUCCAUUAGGCAGUUGGCGGGGUAACGGCCCACCAAACCGACGAUGGAUAGGGGUUCUGAGAGGAAGGUCCCCCACAUUGGUACUGAGACACGGACCAAACUCCUACGGGAGGCAGCAGUGAGGAAUAUUGGUCAAUGGCCGAGAGGCUGAACCAGCCAAGUCGCGUGAGGGAUGAAGGUUCUAUGGAUCGUAAACCUCUUUUAUAAGGGAAUAAAGUGCGGGACGUGUCCCGUUUUGUAUGUACCUUAUGAAUAAGGAUCGGCUAACUCCGUGCCAGCAGCCGCGGUAAUACGGAGGAUCCGAGCGUUAUCCGGAUUUAUUGGGUUUAAAGGGUGCGUAGGCGGCCUUUUAAGUCAGCGGUGAAAGUCUGUGGCUCAACCAUAGAAUUGCCGUUGAAACUGGGGGGCUUGAGUAUGUUUGAGGCAGGCGGAAUGCGUGGUGUAGCGGUGAAAUGCAUAGAUAUCACGCAGAACCCCGAUUGCGAAGGCAGCCUGCCAAGCCAUUACUGACGCUGAUGCACGAAAGCGUGGGGAUCAAACAGGAUUAGAUACCCUGGGUAGUCCACGCAGUAAACGAUGAUCACUAGCUGUUUGCGAUACACUGUAAGCGGCACAGCGAAAGCGUUAAGUGAUCCACCUGGGGAGUACGCCGGCAACGGUGAAACUCAAAGGAAUUGACGGGGGCCCGCACAAGCGGAGGAACAUGUGGUUUAAUUCGAUGAUACGCGAGGAACCUUACCCGGGUUUGAACGCAUUCGGACCGAGGUGGAAACACCUUUUCUAGCAAUAGCCGUUUGCGAGGUGCUGCAUGGUUGUCGUCAGCUCGUGCCGUGAGGUGUCGGCUUAAGUGCCAUAACGAGCGCAACCCUUGCCACUAGUUACUAACAGGUAAAGCUGAGGACUCUGGUGGGACUGCCAGCGUAAGCUGCGAGGAAGGCGGGGAUGACGUCAAAUCAGCACGGCCCUUACAUCCGGGGCGACACACGUGUUACAAUGGCGUGGACAAAGGGAAGCCACCUGGCGACAGGGAGCGAAUCCCCAAACCACGUCUCAGUUCGGAUCGGAGUCUGCAACCCGACUCCGUGAAGCUGGAUUCGCUAGUAAUCGCGCAUCAGCCAUGGCGCGGUGAAUACGUUCCCGGGCCUUGUACACACCGCCCGUCAAGCCAUGGGAGCCGGGGGUACCUGAAGUCCGUAACCGCGAGGAUCGGCCUAGGGUAAAACUGGUGACU
rnacentral:rRNA from 1 species